rnacentral:rRNA from 1 species
UGGGGGAUAUUGCACAAUGGGGGAAACCCUGAUGCAGCAACGCCGCGUGAAGGAAGAAGGUCUUCGGAUUGUAAACUUCUGUCUUUAGUGACGAUAAUGACGGUAGCUAAAGAGGAAGCUCCGGCUAACUACGUGCCAGCAGCCGCGGUAAUACGUAGGGAGCAAGCGUUGUCCGGAUUUACUGGGUGUAAAGGGUGCGUAGGCGGUUCUGCAAGUCAGUUGUGAAAACUAUGGGCUUAACCCAUAGCCUGCAAUUGAAACUGUGGGACUUGAGUGAAGUAGAGGUAGGUGGAAUUCCCGGUGUAGCGGUGAAAUGCGUAGAGAUCGGGAGGAACACCAGUGGCGAAGGCGGCCUACU